GGCCAUGAGAACAUUGUUCGUGUG
rnacentral:siRNA from 1 species